rnacentral:rRNA from 1 species
GACGAACGCUGGCGGCGUGCCUAAUACAUGCAAGUUGAGCGCUGAAGCUUGGUACUUGUACCAACUGGAUUAGCAGCGAACGGGUGAGUAACGCGUGGGGAACCUGCCUUUGAGCGGGGGACAACAUUGGGAAACGAAUGCUAAUACCGCAUAAAAACUUUAAACACAUGGUUCAAGUUUGAAAGAUGCACUUGCUUCACCCAAUGAUGAUCUCGCGUCUUAUUAGCCAGUUUGUGAGGUAAACGCCCUCCAAGGCGAUGAUACAUAACCGACCUGAGAGGGUGAACCGGCAAAUUGGGACUGAGACACGGCCCAAACUCCUACGGGAGGCAGCAGGAGGGAAUCUUCGGGAAUGGACGAAAGGCUGAACGGGCAAAGCCGGGUGAGUGGAGAAGGUUUUUGGAUCGGAAAAAUCUGUUGGUAGAGGAGAAAGAUAGUGGGAGGGGAAAGCGCACAAAGUGACGGUAACUAACCAGAAAGGGACGGCUAACUACGUG